rnacentral:rRNA from 1 species
UUAAGUUAAAAAGGGCGCAUGGUGAAUGCCUUGGCACUAGAAGCCGAUGAAGGACGGGACUAACACCGAUAUGCUUCGGGGAGCUGUACGUAAGCUUUGAUCCGGAGAUUUCCGAAUGGGGAAACCCAGCAGCUUUAAUCAGCUGUUACUAUAUAGUGAAUUCAUAGCUAUAUAGAGGUAGACGUGGGGAACUGAAACAUCUCAGUACCCACAGGAGCAGAAAGAAAUUUCGAUUCCCUAAGUAGCGGCGAGCGAACGGGGAACAGCCCAAACCAACGAGCUUGCUCGUUGGGGUUGUAGGACUGAACAUUUGAGUUACCAAAGUUGUUGAUAAUCGAACAAUCUGGGAAGGUUGGCGAAACAGGGUGAUAGCCCCGUAGGUGAAAUCAAUGACCCUCAGUUCAGGAUCCUGAGUACGGCGACACACGUGAAACGUCGUCGGAAUCCGGGAGGACCAUCUCCCAAGGCUAAAUACUCUCUAGUGACCGAUAGUGAACCAGUACCGUGAGGGAAAGGUGAAAAGCACCCCGGAAGGGGAGUGAAAUAGUUCCUGAAACCAUGUGCCUACAAGCAGUUAGAGCCCGUUAAUGGGUGAUAGCGUGCCUCUUGUAGAAUGAACCGGCGAGUUACGGUAACAUGCAAGGUUAAGGUUUAAAAGCCGGAGCCGCAGCGAAAGCGAGUCUGAAAUGGGCGUUUGAGUAUGUUGCUGUAGACCCGAAACCAGGUGAUCUACCCAUGUCCAGGCUGAAGGUGCGGUAAAACGCACUGGAGGGCCGAACCCGUGUACGUUGAAAAGUGCUGGGAUGAGGUGUGGGUAGCGGUGAAAUUCCAAACGAACUUGGAGAUAGCUGGUUCUCUCCGAAAUAGCUUUAGGGCUAGCCUCGGACGUAGAAUCAUGGAGGUAGAGCCACUGUUUGGAUGAGGGGCCCGUCAUGGGUUACUAAGUUCAGAUAAACUCCGAAUACCAUUGAUUUUUAUCCGGGAGUCAGACGGUGAGUGAUAAGAUCCAUCGUCAAAAGGGGAACAGCCCAGACCACCAGUUAAGGUCCCUAAAUAUAUGCUAAGUGGAAAAGGAUGUGGAGUUGCAUAGACAACUAGGAUGUUGGCUCAGAAGCAGCCAUCAUUUAAAGAGUGCGUAAUAGCUCACUAGUCGAGUGAUUCCGCGCCGAAAAUUUACCGGGGCUAAGCAUAUUACCGAGACUGUGGACUUGACCUUUGGUCAAGUGAUAGGAGAGCGUUCUAAGGGCAAUGAAGCCAGACCGUAAGGACUGGUGGNUACCAUUGAUUUUUAUCCGGGAGUCAGACGGUGAGUGAUAAGAUCCAUCGUCAAAAGGGGAACAGCCCAGACCACCAGUUAAGGUCCCUAAAUAUAUGCUAAGUGGAAAAGGAUGUGGAGUUGCAUAGACAACUAGGAUGUUGGCUCAGAAGCAGCCACCAUUUAAAGAGUGCGUAAUAGCUCACUAGUCGAGUGAUUCCGCGCCGAAAAUUUACCGGGGCUAAGCAUAUUACCGAGACUGUGGACUUGACCUUUGGUCAAGUGAUAGGAGAGCGUUCUAAGGGCAAUGAAGCCAGACCGUAAGGACUGGUGGAGCGCUUAGAAGUGAGAAUGCCGGUAUGAGUAGCGAAAGAUCAGUGAGAAUCUGAUCCACCGAAUGACUAAGGUUUCCUGGGGAAGGCUCGUCCUCCCAGGGUUAGUCGGGACCUAAGCCGAGGCCGAAAGGCGUAGGCGAUGGAUAACAGGUUGAGAUUCCUGUACUAGUUGAUGAUGUUUGAGCGAUGGAGGGACGCAGGAGGCUAAGUUGUGCAUCCAGUUGGAAAGGGAUGUUCAAGCAACGAGUCAGUCAAUGAGUUAAAUGCUUAUUGGCGGGUUGACAAGUUGUGAUGAGGACCGAAAUUUAAGUAGGGAAGCAACCGACGUCACACUGCCGAGAAAAGCUUCUAGUGAGUCAUCAACUACCCGUACCGCAAACCGACACAGGUAGUCGAGGAGAGAAUCCUCAGGUGAGCGAGUGAACUCUCGUUAAGGAACUCGGCAAAAUGACCCCGUAACUUCGGGAGAAGGGGUGCUGUGCGCAAGCACAGCCGCAGUGAAAAGGCCCAGGCGACUGUUUAUCAAAAACACAGGUUUCUGCAAAAUCGUAAGAUGACGUAUAGGGGCUGACGCCUGCCCGGUGCUGGAAGGUUAAGUGGAUGAGUUAGCUUCGGCGAAGCCCAGAAAUGAAGCCCCAGUAAACGGCGGCCGUAACUAUAACGGUCCUAAGGUAGCGAAAUUCCUUGUCGGGUAAGUUCCGACCCGCACGAAAGGCGUAACGAUCUGGGCACUGUCUCAACGAGAGACUCGGUGAAAUUAAGAUACCUGUGAAGAAGCAGGUUACCCGCGACAGGACGGAAAGACCCCAUGGAGCUUUACUGUAGCUUGAUAUUGGGUGUUGACACAGCUUGUACAGGAUAGGUAGGAGCCAUUGAAGCCGGAACGCUAGUUUCGGCAGAGGCGUUGGUGGGAUACUACCCUCGCUGUGUGAACACUCUAACCCGCGCCACUCAGCGUGGCGGGAGACAGUGUCAGGUAGGCAGUUUGACUGGGGCGGUCGCCUCCCAAACAGUAACGGAGGCGCCCAAAGGUUCCCUCAGAAUGGUUGGAAAUCAUUCAACGAGUGUAAAGGCAGAAGGGAGCUUGACUGCGAGACAGACAGGUCGAGCAGGGACGAAAGUCGGGCUUAGUGAUCCGGUGGUACCGUAUGGAAGGGCCAUCGCUCAACGGAUAAAAGCUACCCUGGGGAUAACAGGCUUAUCUCCCCCAAGAGUCCACAUCGACGGGGAGGUUUGGCACCUCGAUGUCGGCUCAUCGCAUCCUGGGGCUGUAGUCGGUCCCAAGGGUUGGGCUGUUCGCCCAUUAAAGCGGUACGCGAGCUGGGUUCAGAACGUCGUGAGACAGUUCGGUCCCUAUCCGUCGCGGGCGUAGGAAAUUUGAGAGGAGCUGUCCUUAGUACGAGAGGACCGGGAUGGACAUACCGCUGGUGUACCAGUUGCGCCGCCAGGCGCACCGCUGGGUAGCUACGUAUGGAUGAGAUAAACGCUGAAAGCAUCUAAGUGUGAAACUCACCUCAAGAUGAGAUUUCCCAUUCCUAUAUGGAAGUAAGACCCCUGAGAGAUGAUCAGGUAGAUAGGUUGGAAGUGGAAGUGCAGUGAUGUACGGAGCGGACCAAUACUAAUCGGUCGAGGACUUAACCAA